AUGAAUAAAGCUUUGGUGCUUAUGAUUCAGUAAAAUGAACUGAAUGAUUGAAAUUUACCAAUCAAACGUUGCACAGCAUGUCCAUAUUGACAAAAGUCUUGAACUUUUUUGUUUUAAUGCUUAUUAUGUAACAUGUCAGAUGUCACAUAAGUUACA